GUGGAACACCCUACCGCUGUGCUAUCGCUCCCACACCCGAUCUCGUCUGCUCUCGGAAAGCUAAGCAGGGUUGGGGCCUGGUUAGUACUUAAAUGGGUUCUUAUUGUAUACCAUUUUUGUUUUUUAAA
rnacentral:rRNA from 1 species